rnacentral:rRNA from 1 species
UCCUACGGGAGGCAGCAGUGGGGAAUUUUGGACAAUGGGCGCAAGCCUGAUCCAGCCAUUCCGCGUGAGUGAAGAAGGCCUUCGGGUUGUAAAGCUCUUUCGCAAGGGAAGAAACGAUACAGUCUAAUAAACUGUGUUAAUGACGGUACCUUGAUAAGAAGCACCGGCUAACUACGUGCCAGCAGCCGCGGUAAUACGUAGGGUGCGAGCGUUAAUCGGAAUUACUGGGCGUAAAGCGUGCGCAGGCUGUUUUGUAAGUCAGAUGUGAAAUCCCUGGGCUCAACCUAGGAACUGCGUUUGAAACUACAAGGCUAGAGUGUAGGAGAGGGGGGUAGAAUUCCACGUGUAGCAGUGAAAUGCGUAGAGAUGUGGAGGAAUACCAAUGGCGAAGGCAGCCCCCUGGCCUAACACUGACGCUCAUGCACGAAAGCGUGGGGAGCAAACAGGAUUAGAAACCCCGGUAGUCCC